GAUGAACGCUAGCGGCAGGCCUAAUACAUGCAAGUCGUACGGCAACACAGUUGCGAGCAAUCGCAACCGGUGGCGAGUGGCGCACGGGUGAGUAACGCGUAUGUAACCUACCCUUCUCCGGGACAUAACUCCGCGAAAGCGGUGCUAAUAUCCCAUACCAACUCAUCAAGACAUCUUCUUGAGUUGAAAGCAGCAAUGCGGUGAAGGAUGGGCAUGCGUCCCAUUAGCUGGUUGGUGAGGUAAUGGCCCACCAAGGCUACGAUGGGUAGGGGUUCUGAGAGGAAAGCCCCCCACGGGACUGGUACUGAGACACGGACCAGACUCCUACGGGAGGCAGCAGUAAGGAAUAUUGGGCAAUGGUCGAAAGACUGACCCAGCCAUGCCGCGUGCAGGAUGAAGGCCCUAUGGGUUGUAAACUGCUUUUAGCCGGGAAUAAACACCCGUUUUAUAACGGGCCCGAAGGUACCGGCUGAAUAAGCAAUCGGCUAACUCCGUGCCAGC
rnacentral:rRNA from 1 species